rnacentral:rRNA from 1 species
GACGAACGCUGGCGGCGUGCUUAACACAUGCAAGUCGAGCGGUAAGGCCCUUUCGGGGGUACACGAGCGGCGAACGGGUGAGUAACACGUGGGUGACCUGCCCUCAGCUCUGGGAUAAGCCCGGGAAACUGGGUCUAAUACCGGAUAUGACUCCAUGACGCAUGUUGUGGGGUGGAAAGCCUUGUGCGGCUGAGGAUGGGCCCGCGGCCUAUCAGCUUG